GGGAGCUGCUAAAAUAAACUGAAGCCCAGCAACUCUCCAGGAACCUUCCAGGCCUUUCGUGCCAGAUUAGGACUGAAGCACCCAGCUUCACGGACUGAGCAGAUGAUUACUGGUCUUUCUAGCCUGAGACAGCCAUUGUUGAACUACGCAGACCAUAUCUUAUGUUGGUGUUUGUGGGAUUUCCUGGAACCAAUUUACUGUGGAGAUCAUGGAGCAACUGUAUUCAGUCACCUAUACAAGAGAAGUCCUUUGUCGAUCUCCACAGAUCUCUCACUGAGCAGGCAUGUCUGGACCCAUGAGUGAUGAAAGACAGCAGUUUCUUCAAAGGGCUUGAAGGAUGCUGAGAUGUUACCAAGCUAUUGGUUGUCUAGAAGUAGGAUGACAUCCUCAGGAAGAAGUCUGAUGAGGCGGCUCACUGGAAUCCCAAGCCUCGGGUCCAGACCUUUAUCAUAUCUUGGAACAUGAAGUCAGUUGGAAGGCGGGGGAAAAGCAAUGUCCAAUUCAAAGGGGACACACACAUGGCUGCACAUGGAGGCAUCCUGGAUUCCUGCCUUCCUGGAUUACCUAUCUGCUUCCCAGAUGCUUUUAUGCUGCCAACAGCCCACACAAAAGCCAUGUUAAAUUAUCCUCUGAUCCAAACGAAGACAGGGGCUGUAAAGCAGGAAGUCACCCUGGAGACCACACGGUUCCACAGAAGGACAAACUUUGGACUAGAAAACCAAGAGACUUGUUCAAAGAGUGACAACCAGGACCAGACCCACAUCUCCAAAGUAAGAAGUCUUGACUUCAUGACUUCGAUGGGUGCACUCCAGAACUGCAGCAUACUAAUACGACUGGUCAACUGGAGAUGAACAGAUUGAUUAAUUAAUUGAUUAAGCUCUGUUCUUAAUCUUGAGAUUAAAAGGUGGAGGAAAAUAUGAGAAAAAAGGGAAAAAUCUAGUGGAUUCAGAAACUGUACUGUGCAUAGCAAGAAGUCAUAUAUUUAGGCUUUAGAAUUGUGGUCAAUGCCCUCAUGCUUCUUAUUAAUUUAUGCAAUAAACAUUUGUUUAACACCAGC